AGUGAACGCUGGCGGUAGGCCUAACACAUGCAAGUCGAACGGCAGCACAGUAAGAGCUUGCUCUUACGGGUGGCGAGUGGCGGACGGGUGAGGAAUACAUCGAAAUCUACUUUUUCGUGGGGGAUAACGUAGGGAAACUUACGCUAAUACCGCAUACGACCUACGGGUGAAAGCAGGGGAUCUUCGGACCUUGCGCGAUUGAAUGAGCCGAUGUCGGAUUAGCUAGUUGGCGGGGUAAAGGCCCACCAAGGCGACGAUCCGUAGCUGGUCUGAGAGGAUGAUCAGCCACACUGGAACUGAGACACGGUCCAGACUCCUACGGGAGGCAGCAGUGGGGAAUAUUGGACAAAGGGCGCAAGCCUGAUCCAGCCAUACCGUGUGGGUGAAGAAGGCCUUCGGGUUGUAAAGCCCUUUUGUUGGGAAAGAAAAGCAGCAGGUUAAUACCCCGCUGUUCUGACGGUACCCAAAGAAUAAGCACCGGCUAACUUCGUG
rnacentral:rRNA from 1 species